GAGAGUGUCCACGUCCUCAAAAUAAUCAUCCAAUCACAGAGCACCAAUGUGCCAUAUCACAUUUCAUUUUAGUCCACUAAAAAUACCACCCGCCAUGAAUUCUUAUAUAUUGUAUUCGGCCCAUGUUUUUCACAGUCCUUGGCCCAAUUAAUUAGGCUGACGGACUCCGCUACAUCUUCUUCGGAGCAAUCCAUCCGUUUCUUCAACCUCUUCGUUUCUCUAGAGUAAAGUCGGCUUCCAAUCACUCUUUCUCAUUAAAAUUGUUUCUUUACUUCUUUAAUAGGAAGAUCAAUAGUUCCAAAUCCUUUUGUUUGUCACCUUAUAUAAACUCAUCCUCCGAACAAUAGCACCACUAUCAGGAAUGGCGAUGAAAUCGGUUGAAUCAACGAGAAGUCUCCAGUGGCUCAAUUGUUUUUUGCGACGUCUCUCCCUGCUUACUGGAAUCAGAGGUGAGACCCCGUUUAAUCUACUUCUGUGAGGCUAGAAACACGGCGAAAGGGCUUGCUUAUUGGGUUACCAUAACCUUCGUUUAGUUCUUCAAUCAUUUAUCUCAAGGCUUCAAUCCAAUUUGGUCAAAAACACUCUCUGAUGUCGAACAUCCACCUUAAUGCUGUUGUUUUUUUACUCGCUGGCGGCUCAAAUCACCUAGGUUUGUUCUAUUAGUGAGGAACUUGGAUGUCCUAGCACGUGUUUACACUAUGAAAACUGAGAUAAUGCAGAUCAAGGAAGAAUUUGGUAUCCAAAACAACUGUGAAGUGGCAAUAAGUGUUUCGGCGGAUGAUGAUCAACGACAAAAGGAUCAAAGAGUACAGAAGGUAUGUUUUAAUGAUGCCCACAUUUCCUAUAUGCCAGUCAUUAAGAUGUUGUUUGCCUCUUGGCCCUUUGAUCUUACAGACUUACAGUUUAACCAAUAUUUGAGAAUGUGGAUCAGAUAGCAGGCUAUUGUCCUCUACGAUGUUACCCCUUCGCAUGAAAGAUAUUUCUUUUCUAUUUGCUUAAGAAAGUGAGUAUUUAAGUAACUGAUUGGUAAUAUGGAAACGUUUUUCAGAAUUCAAGACAUGAAAGUGAUGGAGACAAGAAAGACAGUGUUGCAGAAAGAACAAAGAAUGUUAUUUGCACGUGCCUUGGCAGCCGGUUUCAAAGUUGCUGAUAUGCUGACUCUUAUAUCUUCCGCCAAAUUAUUUUGGAACCUCACAUUUGAUGUGAGGAAAUUUAAUAUAUUCAGAUAUUCUUUCAUUGUUUUGAUGUGCGAAAACAGACCUUUACAAGCAAUCAAUGGCUUACAAGAAUUCAGAAGAGAAAGCGCCUCUCACUACGUGUGUUCUUUGGUAAUGUGGUUCCGGAAAUUUGCAAUGCAUUUUCUAGAGGGAUUAUCGAGCUCAGAUCUGAAUCAAAGAUUGGAAGAAAGGAAUGGGAUGAAUCAGCGGUAGUUACGUUUUCAGCGUUCUGAACGCUUGCAAGUGGUUUUUCCCUCUUUUGAAUCCUCUACUUGAAGUUUAACGAGUGAAAGAUAAGGCCCAGUUGUUAUUGUUAGGAUAGAUAUGAUUCUUAUUUUUGUUGACAUGUUUUUUUUCCGAUAGUACUUCUAAUUUGAAGAUGCAUCAGUGCAGGCUGUUUGACAAUCAGGUGUAUGGUGUUGUUCAUGGACUUCUCAUGGGUCAUAGAGAGAAUCUAUGGCCGCAAGCUCAGAGCUUAUUCAUCAAAGUAAAGGAAAUGGAUGGUUCGAACGCUUCUUCCUUUGACCUCUGGCACUUUGUUCAGGUAUAUAUCACACAGAUAUUGUAGAGGCCCAAGUUUUGGAACAAGGCGCCCAGGAGGUUGCGCAUGAGGGAAGAUCUAGACAAGUUUGAGAGAAAUUGUGGUCCAAUUCUUGCUUGAACGUACACCUUCCAAGCUCGGUUUAGAGCCCCACUACUAUGUCUACUAUGUUUUUUUUUUCAUGCAAUUUGAAUGAAAACCAGUUCAUAAAGAAAUAGUUUUCAAUUUGAAGAGUGGCAAAGAGGUUGAGACAUUAUUUUCAAUACGAGAAGAUGAAAACAUAUACAGUAUAGCUAUUCACACUAACAAGAGUUUGUUUUUAAGAAUUUUGUUUAGAACACAGUUUGUUUUUAAGAAUAAAAUUUGCUUUUUUUUAA